CAGCCGCCGCGGUAAUACGUAGGGUGCAAGCGUUAAUCGGAAUUACUGGGCGUAAAGCGUGCGCAGGCGGUUAUAUAAGUCAGAUGUGAAAUCCCCGGGCUCAACCUGGGACCUGCAUUUGUGACUGUAUAGCUAGAGUACGGUAGAGGGGGAUGGAAUUCCGCGUGUAGCAGUGAAAUGCGUAGAGAUGUGGAGGAACACCGAUGGCGAAGGCAGCCCCCUGGGCCAAUACUGACGCUCAUGCACGAAAGCGUGGGGAGCAAACAGGAUUAGAUACCCGUGUAGUCCCUGUCUCUUAUAC
rnacentral:rRNA from 1 species